rnacentral:tRNA from 8 species
GCGUCCUUAGCUCAGUUGGAUAGAGCAACGGCCUUCUAAGCCGUGGGUCGCAGGUUCGAAUCCUGCAGGGCGCGCCA